AUUUUAGAUGUGUUAAGACACAUCGCUUGAGUUUUUGUUAUAUUUAAUUUAUAAUAUGAUUGUUGACUGUAGGACUGUAAUUCUUUAUGUAAUGAUGGAAACGUUAUGAAUGGUUGAGUAAUUGUGAGAAGGAUAUCAUCAGCAUAUAAACUAAGUUUAUAUUCCUCAUUACCCACUGACACCCCGUGAAUAUUUCUAUUGUUCCGCAUAGAUAUGGCCAAAGGUUCUAGAGCUAGUACAUAAAGAAGGGGUGAUAAUGGACACCCCUGUCGAGUCCCA